rnacentral:rRNA from 1 species
UAGGGAAUCUUCGGCAAUGGACGAAAGUCUGACCGAGCAACGCCGCGUGAGUGAAGAAGGUUUUCGGAUCGUAAAACUCUGUUGUUAGAGAAGAACAAGGACGUUAGUAACUGAACGUCCCCUGACGGUAUCUAACCAGAAAGCCACGGCUAACUACGUGCCAGCAGCCGCGGUAAUACGUAGGUGGCAAGCGUUGUCCGGAUUUAUUGGGCGUAAAGCGAGCGCAGGCGGUUUCUUAAGUCUGAUGUGAAAGCCCCCGGCUAAACCGGGGAGGGUCAUUGGAAACUGGGAGACUGAGGGGGGGAAGAGGGGAGUGGAAUUCAAUGUGUAGCGGUGAAAUGCGUAGAUAUAUGGGGGAACACCAGUGGCGAAGGCGGCUCUCUGGUCUGUAACUGACGCUGGGGCUCGAAAGCGUGGGGAGCAAACAGG